rnacentral:lncRNA from 1 species
AAUUAUUUAAGGCCAUAAUUUCUUUGUCUCUCUGUGAAACCUAGCAUUAACAGCCAAAGGAAGAGAUUUCAGCAGCUGACACUGAGUGUGAAAGUCCUUUUAACUCUCUUGAGUUCUGCUGGUUUGCUGGUCUAGAAGAGGCAUUCUUAGGUCCCUAUUUCCAAUUCCCUCCUGACCCUUGUCCUUUGGAUCAGCUCUGGACACACAUACAGUAGUUCACAGUUGUUCAUUUGAUUCAACACCACUGACACUGAUUGUAGUACCAGAGUACUAUAGUUAGAGACAACAGAGGCCUUGGCUAUAAGAAAAGGAAAUGUUUGUUUUAGAGAGUAAAGGAUCUCCAGGUAGUUGACUAAAUUAUAUGUUACUUUUAGUUUCAUAAGAGCAACAGUUUUUGAGGGUUCUAGAUAGCUGGUGUGAGGAUAAGUACAAUUAUUGCUAAGUUUGAUGAUGUUUAUUUUGGGGGGUACCAGGGAUUAAACUCAGGAGCACGUCACCACUGAGCCACACCCCCAGCCCUAUUUUUGUAUUUUAUUUACAGACAGGAUCUUACUUAGUGGCUUAGUGCUUCAGUUUUGCUGAGGCUGGCUUUGAACUCACAAUCCUCCUGCCUCGGCCUCCGCUGGGAUUACACGCAUGCUCUACCACAC